GAUGGGGUCCGUCUGAGGGGUCUAGCUAGUGCGUUUAUUUCACGCAUGUGGUCCUAGGUCCUAAACUUAAAACUGAUUUGAGCUUAUUGUGUGCUCCUGGUGCCUUAAUCUGAAACUUAAGAGGUAAACAAACUUAGCCGUUGUGUCUAGCUUAUUUUGGUUUUGCAUGCAAUUGAAAUGUCGACUCAUGAGCGGGGAUUUUCUCAUGGACGAGUACCUAAGGUGAGGCAUGUGCCAUAGUGGCCUGGGCAUGUGUGUGUAUAAAGGGGGAAAAAC